rnacentral:rRNA from 1 species
AUUGAACGCUGGCGGCAUGCCUAACACAUGCAAGUCGAGCGGGUGAAGGGAGCUUGCUCCUGGAUUCAGCGGCGGACGGGUGAGUAAUGCCUAGGAAUCUGCCUGGUAGUGCGGGAUAACGUCCGGAAACGGGCGCUAAUAUCGGAUACGACCUUAGGGCGAAAGUGGGUGAUCUUCGGAUCGCACGCCUUCAUAUGAGCCUAAGUCGGAUUAACUGGUUGGUGGGGUAAAGGCCUACCAAGGCGAGGAUCCGAAACUGGGCUGAGAGGAUGAUCAGUCACACUGGAACUGAGACAGGUUCCAGACACUUGCGGGAGGACGCAGUGCGGACUCUUGGACAAUGGAGGAAAGCCUAAUCUAGCCAUGCGGGGUGUGUCCAGAAGGUCUUAGGACUCUAAAGCACUUUAAGUUGGGAGGAAGGGCAGUAAGUUAACACCUUGCUGUUUUGACGUUACCAACAGAAUAAGCUCCGGCUAACUUCGUG